UUCUCGUUAAACUUGUACAAAUGAAUACAGAGUACACAGUUAUUGGUGCUAUUUUCCAUAGCCUGUAUGAAUGACCUUGUGUGCAGGUACGUUGAGUUGAUACUGGCUAACUCCAAGUAUUGUGUUGUAGCAUGUUGGUGUGUGUCUGCCUGUGAGUGUGAGGAUGUCUUGAGUAACGCUCAUAAUGAGUUCAUAGACAUACCAAAAUGACAGCCUGCUAAUUUAAGAGACAGGACCAGUGCUUCAUUCUAAACUCAACAUAACUUUGUCAUUUGGCGUUUGCUUGCAGAACUGCCUACACCUCGGUAGUUGAUGCUCAACCGAACAAAGCAAAGGCACAUAUAUGCUUUGAAUUAUAAUCAGUACCGAAUUUUAAAUUCCCAUACAUCCUUCAGAAACAAAUUGGUUAUGCUUCUUUUGACAUGCAAUCAAUCACACUAAGUUCCAAAUGACAUCAGCGAGUGAGAUUUGGGGGGUAGGCAAGAAAUAGGAAGCCACCCUUUACACGGACUGAACAUAUUUCUAGCACACAUCUUUUGAAGACACAUUAUGACGCCAAUAAUAAUGUUGGGUAGAUAAAGCUGUUAAUCAUCCCCACCCUCAACCCCUCACCUCACAUUCUGUGGCUUCUCAAAUUAAAUAACUGCGUGGUCCAAUUAUGAUGUGUGAUGUUUAAAGGCCGCCACAGCAAAAAUAAGUCAUCUUUGAAUGAGGGGAGACAGCUCACAACGUGUGUUGUGCUCGAUCUUCUCAAGCAUCAGCAAUGGUAUUUUGAUAAGAGCACAGGGCCUCUGCCUCUAAACGAUCCUUGUAAUAUUGUUGCAAAAUGUAGACAUUUUGAGUGGCUGAACAGAUACCAUAUCGCUGCCGCGCUGCAGCACCAACAGGCUCUGGUUUGAUAUCACACUUUUGCAAUAUCUCUCUUCUGUAGGACAUUUUAACUUUUUUUCAGAUAUUAGCUGCCCCAGGUAUCUCGAAUACCUAAUUUGCCUUCGACUUAAAAAAUAAAAUCUUAUAAUCUACCCUUGUUCAAGACACCUUACAGCAAUAUGAGGAUUUAUUUUUCCCCUGCACAGCAUACUUCCAAAGAGAUAAUUCUGCCUUGUGCGAGGCAAAAAUGCUGUGAAGCUAUUGGAGCUCACGCAGAAAAACCAUGAAAGAACACUUGGGGGUAAUUCUUAAUCAAAUACUUACAAGUUUAGUUUACAUCUGUGAACAACACUAAACAUCACAGUAAGCAACCAAUAUAGCUUUGAGUUUGGGAAUCGGGUCCCAUGCAAUCAACCCAAUGCUGGUUUAGCAUCAUUUUCAGCUCUCGUCAGCUAACCAACAGCAUCUGCUCUUGCCACUUAGGAAAGCCUGAAUCUGUGUGAUGAGUUGACAGGAUGACUUCCAGCUUGAAAGCUGCGUUUCAUCUUAAGACAUAAAGCAAGCAACGUUAUGAGGGGAUUUAGUAAUGCUAACAGCGAUGUGGCUCUCGGGAAGGUGAUUUGUUGAAAACAAACACAUCCAAGAAGAAUGGAAGCAUAAAGUAUAUGAAACAUCUGAUGGUGAUUUCAGGAACAUUACAGAGAAAUACCUGGAGGAGAUAAAGUAAAGAAAAAUAGUUUUGAGUAGAGAAUCAACCUGGCUUUGGGGUGAAUGACCCUGUCAUCUACUGCCUACAUAGAUCCCUCUCCCACCUGGAAAAAGCCAGGAGCACUGUGAGAAUCUGAGAAUCCAUUAUUUCUCUGAGUUGUAGGGCACAGGAGUGGAUCUUGGUCUACCUCGCCAUACCGACCACGGUAUGUCAGGAUGUGGUUAUGUCGGUCCAAGCAUCGCAGCCUGUGGGCCCCAAAGUGAGGAGCUACGGUUUUGCGGACUGGGGCCAUCGGAUUCACCUCAAAACUCUGGUUGAACCCCUUCAAAGCGGCCACAGAAGUAGUCACUCCAGUCACCCGUGAUUAAGAGCCUUGCUCAAGGGCAACUUAACUAAAGGUGUCGGGGAAAGGUUUUGAAACCUCUCAGCCUUCAGAAGUGGUUGAGACGAGGGGGCUGCGCCAUCCGCCACAUCACCGAUGAAGGAUGAACCAUUGCUCGGGCUGGAUCCAAAGGCAGGAAGCAGUACGCACUGAUGGCAUAGAGUACAUCAUUCUGAAGUACGUUAGUCUG